GACGGCAGCGCGGGGGCAACCCUGGCGGCGAGUGGCGAACGGGUGAGUAAUACAUCGGAACGUGUCCUGGAGUGGGGGAUAGCCCUGGCGAAAGCCGGAUUAAUACCGCAUACGCUCUGUGGAGGAAAGCGGGNGGAUCUUCGGACCUCGCGCUCAAGGGGCGGCCGAUGGCAGAUUAGCUAGUUGGUGGGGUAAAGGCCUACCAAGGCGACGAUCUGUAGCUGGUCUGAGAGGACGACCAGCCACACUGGGACUGAGACACGGCCCAGACUCCUACGGGAGGCAGCAGUGGGGAAUUUUGGACAAUGGGGGCAACCCUGAUCCAGCAAUGCCGCGUGUGUGAAGAAGGCCUUCG
rnacentral:rRNA from 1 species